UACGGAGGGUGCAAGCGUUAUCCGGAUUCACUGGGUUUGAAGGGUGCGUAGGCGGGUUGGUAAGUCCGUGGUGAAAUCCCCAAGCUUAACUUGGGAACUGCCGUGGAUACUAUCAAUCUUGAAUAUCGUGGAGGUAAGCGGAAUAUGUCAUGUAGCGGUGAAAUGCUUAGAUAUGACAUAGAACACCAAUUGCGUAGGCAGCUUACUACACGAUCAUUGACGCUGAGGCACGAAAGCGUGGGGAGCAAACAGG
rnacentral:rRNA from 1 species